rnacentral:rRNA from 1 species
GGGUGCGAUCAUACCAGCACUACGACACCGAAGUGC